rnacentral:tRNA from 2 species
GCGGAUGUAGUUUAAUGGUAAAAUCCGAGCUUCCCAAGCUCGUGUCGCGAGUUCGAUUCUCGUCGUCCGCU